GGCAACAGCUCAAUUUGAAAUCUGGCCCCUAGGGUCCGAGUUGUAAUUUGUAGAGGAUGCUUUUGGUGAGGUGCCNCCCGAGUUCCCUGGAACGGGACGCCGCAGAGGGUGAGAGCCCCGUCUGGCUGGCCACCGAGCCUCUGUAAAGCUCCUUCGACGAGUCGAGUAGUUUGGGAAUGCUGCUCAAAAUGGGAGGUAUAUGUCUUCUAAAGCUAAAUAUUGGCCAGAGACCGAUAGCGCACAAUUAGAGUGAUCGAAAGAUGAAAAGCACCUUGAAAAGAGGGUUAAACAGUACGUGAAAUUGUUGAAAGGGAAGCGCUUGUGACCAGACUUGGGCGCGGNNAAUCAUCCGGGGUUCUCUCCGGUGCAUUUCNCCGUGUUCAGGCCAGCUUCAGGUCAGCGCGGGGGAAAAAGGCUUC
rnacentral:rRNA from 1 species